rnacentral:tRNA from 1 species
UCCGGUGUCGUAUAGCGGUAACGAUUUCUGAUUUUCAUUCAAUCGGCCCGGGCGCGAUUCCCGGCACCGGAA